GGGAGCACAGGAUCCUGGGCUGUGUCCCCGGCGCCCUGGGAUCCAGGGCCUGCGCUGCUGGGAUCAUGCUCUGGGCCAGGUCCU
rnacentral:pre_miRNA from 1 species